UACGUAGGGUGCGAGCGUUAAUCGGAAUUACUGGGCGUAAAGCGUGCGCAGGCGGUGAUGUAAGACCGAUGUGAAAUCCCCGGGCUUAACCUGGGAACUGCAUUGGUGACUGCAUCGCUCGAGUAUGGCAGAGGGGGGUAGAAUUCCACGUGUAGCAGUGAAAUGCGUAGAUAUGUGGAGGAACACCGAUGGCGAAGGCAGCCCCCUGGGUCAAGACUGACGCUCAUGCACGAAAGCGUGGGGAGCAAACAGG
rnacentral:rRNA from 1 species